AGAUAAUUAUCUGUAAUCUACAUGCUUGAAUGCAGAAUUGCCAAGACACAUUUAAUCUCUGACUUUCAGAUUAAUAACUCUGUUCUGAGUAAUGUUUUACGUGUCACAACUAUUCAUAAUGCAUAAAACACUGGAUUUUGCACUGUGGCAAUUUCAGUCCAUGGUAAAAUAGUUGUUUUAAUCUGAGGUAUUGAAUGAUGAUAGAAAUGACAUUAAAGCAAUGUGUGAUCUAUAUUCUGCCAGUUAGCUUUUGUUGUCUCCCAUUUUUCAUAUGUGUUAUUCAUUGUUAUUCCCACUUUCAUAUGUGUUAUUCAUUGUUUCAAUCUCAGAGCAGGAAUACAGGACUGCAUUUCAGUAAAAUAUUCCAACGGAUUAAUACCUAUAUCAGAAACUGCUUGGCUGUACUUCAAUUAAAGAGAACUGCACAUCAAUUAAAUUGCUGCACAUCAAUUAAAGAGAACUCUUUUACUCUUUUGGGGAACAAGUGUUCAUCCAUGUGGAUCCCUACUCAUGAUAUUUGCUUGAAACACUUUAUUGUCCUUGAGGGGAAGCUCAUGCAGCCUUAGUGGCUAAAUAAGAUACUGAUUUUUUUUUUUUUUUUUAAGAACAAAACUAUUAUUUUUUAUUAUUUUCUAUUUCUCUAUAAAGUUUAAAGUCUUUUUCCAGGGUUUAGAAUGUGUGUGGAGUGGAUUAGGUACAGUAAGAUUCAGGAUAUCUUAUAUGAGUCCUUGUUCCAAGUUAGGCACUGCAGCAAUUAGAAUGUAGAUUUUCAUGCUGUGUAAAGCAUUUGGGCUACUUGUACAGGCCAUAGGGUAGGGUAGAUACCCAUGAAGAGUGAUUCAGGAAUUCACCAAAUGUUAACCUGUAAAUAGAUUUUGGUCCCUUCUGGAGUAUUGACACCUGACACCACAGGCUGAAUAUUUGCCUUGCUUCAAUACUCUUGGGAUGAAGGCUUUGUGUUCAUUUUUCUGAGCCUAAGUGCUUUCCUCAGCAGCACUUACCCUUGCUAAAGGAUACUUUUUGCUGUUAUUGAUGAUGCUUGCCCGUUCCUUAAUAGCUUAGUGUAUAGGUCACUUACUGAGGAAAUCAAGACACUAACAUUCUAGCCCACCCUGGUUAACCCAAAGGUUAGAUCUGCAGUUGUUACACAUCAAAAAA